rnacentral:lncRNA from 1 species
GUGGAAACGGCUGGGCGCGCUGGUGAUGUUCCCUCUACAGAUGAUCUAUCUGGUGGUGAAAGCAGCCGUCGGACUGGUGCUGCCCGCCAAGCUGCGGGACCUGUCGCGGGAGAACGUCCUCAUCACCGGCGGCGGGAGAGGCAUCGGGCGUCAGCUCGCCCGCGAGUUCGCGGAGCGCGGCGCCAGAAAAUUGUUCUCUGGGGCCGGACUGAGAAAUGCCUGAAGGAGACG